UACAGAGGGUGCGAGCGUUGUUCGGAAUUAUUGGGCGUAAAGCGCGCGUAGGCGGCUUUGCAAGUCGGGUGUGAAAGCCCUCAGCUUAACUGAGGAAGUGCGCCCGAAACUGCUUAGCUUGAGUGUCGGAGAGGAUGGCGGAAUACCCCAAGUAGAGGUGAAAUUCGUAGAUAUGGGGUGGAACACCGGUGGCGAAGGCGGCCAUCUGGACGAUAACUGACGCUGAGGCGCGAAAGCGUGGGUAGCAAACAGG
rnacentral:rRNA from 1 species